CAAGUUCAUGCGGAUGUUCGGUAGCAGUGAUGUGCAAAACGAUAGAACAAACACUAACCAAAAAUACGGUUUUCUUUUUU
ensembl:ncRNA F25H10.2 ncRNA